CAGAGUUGCAAAACUCCCACAAACCAUCGCGAAUCUUACCCGUACGGUUGCCUCGGCGCUGGCGGUCCGGAAGGCCCUCGGGCCCCCCGGAUCCUCGGGUCUCCCGCUCGCGGGAGGCUGCCCGCCGGAGUGCCGAAACCAAACUCUUGAUAUUUACGUCUCUCUGAGUAAACUUUUAAAUAAGUCA
rnacentral:misc_RNA from 1 species